rnacentral:lncRNA from 1 species
AAACAUGGUUUCUUUCAGCCACUGGGUUCCCUUCAAACCCCGAUUUUGACGAAGCUAAAGGGAAUCCGCGGCUUAAUCUCAAGGUAAGUCCCCUUUUUCCUUUCUUUUUUUUUGAAUGUAAAAAUGAUAAAAAUAAAAAUGGAGGAAAUAACAAAUAGAAUCGAGGAACAAAGAUCACCUUCUCAAAAAGUGACUCUCUGAUUUUCAAGCAAACUGUAUUGCGUAUGUAUUGUGUGUUUGUAUUCUUUGUGAACGUUCGUUACAACUGAUGAAAUCCCCUGGCUUUAUAGCCGAAUCGGGUAAAAGAAAAAUGAAAAAAUGAAAAUACAAUAUUCCUCGUUGUUUUUUGUCUGUUUUUGCUGCGUGGUUUGUCCCUUUCUUCGCAGGUACAGGUGUGCGCUGGCGUACGGGGUGUGGGUGUGGCGCCAGGAGGUUGGGGCGUACGGAGGCAUGGAGUUGCUGCCCGGUUGCUAUUGCAGCGCAGGAGAAAGGGGGUGGCUUAGGGUUUGUCUGGGUUUAAUGUUCUGGGCCUAUUGGGCCCUGUAAAUUGUAAUUUUGGGUUUGUAAUAUUUUGGGUUUAAAAUUGGGUUAUGUAACUUGGACUGAUGGACUUUUUUUGGACCGUUAAUAAAACUUGGGUUUUAAAUUUAUUUAUUUAUUUAUUGUUUUUUACUAUUUAGUUUGAGGCUAAUGGGCCGGGCGAAUUUGGCCCGCUACAGCUGUCCCUCUUUGCUCAUUAUCGUAUAACGAGAAUAGAGCAAAGACUAUAAAAAGGACCAAAUUUCCCCGGUCUGGCUAAGUCUCAAAAACUUGAUCCUCAUCAUCCCCAAAGGCAUUCUGACGUCUUCAAGAGUGUCAAAUUGGCUAUCCUCAACUUGCUUUUUGAAAACUCAGGAACACCAAUCUGUUAUUUUCUAUCUGCUCUCUGCCAAUAUAGAGAUGCCAAAUCUGUCAUCUUCGAUCUGCUCUCUGUCAAUACAGAGAUGCCAAAUCUGCUAUCUUUGAUCUGCUCUCCGCCAAUAUAGAGGUGCCAAAUCUGCUAUCUUUGAUCUGCUCUCUGCCAAUACAGAGACGCCAAAUCUGUUAUCUUUGAUCUGCUCUCCGCCAAUACAGAGACGCCAAAUCUUCUAUCUUCGAUCUGCCCUCUGACAAUACAGAGACGCCAAAUCUGCUAUCUUCGAUCUGCUCCCUCCCAAUAUAGGGACGCCAAAUCUGUUAUCUUCAAUCUACUCUCCGCCAAUAUAGAGACGCCAAAUCUACUAUCUUCGAUCUACCCUCUGACAAUACAGAGACGCCAAAUCUGCUAUCUUCGAUCUGCUCCCUGCCAAUAUAGAGACGCCAAAUCUGUUAUCUUCGAUCUGUUCUCCGCCAAUACAGAGACGCCAAAUCUGCUAUCUUCGAUCUGCCCUCUGACAAUACAGAGACGCUAAAUCUAUGGGAUUCGCCAAUGUCGCUACACUGUCUUCUAAAGACAUGAUAUGUAGAAUGGGUUUCCUGUAUCUGUGUAUGUCAAAUAACUAGGAUGCUAUGAUCGAGAUGAAUCAAAUGUCCCUAACUAGAUGUGGUGUUUAUGUCAAGUAACUAGAAUGCUAUGAUCGGAGUGAACCAAGUGCUCCUAACUAAAUGAAUGAUUAUGAAUGAGAGUAUUCCUUUUUUAACGCUUAAGGUGUCAUUGCUCAUAAUUCGUCCGGGCUCUAUCAUUGAUAUGCUAUCACGUCUUCUUGCUUAGCUGUUAUCUCUGACAGAAAAUUUAAAGAAAUAGUCAUAAUUUAGACUACUCUUUUCUCAAUGUUUUGAACCUAGUUAGUCCUGACUAGUGGCCCUGUUUCAGGUCCUUGUACCAUUUAGAGACUUUCCAGAGUAAUAUGCUUUACAUCUUUUGUGUGAAUAUUACAUGUUCAAAAAUCGCGAUUUCAACAAAAAUGCUCGAAAGAGAUUAUCAUAAUGGACCAACGGAAUUUUAUUAAGCAAAAUUUGAUGUGAAUUACAUAGGAUAACGAUUCUGAUAAGGUGCAGAAAAAGGUGCCCCAGAUACCGCAGCACGAGUUUCACUAUUCUAAUUUCUCAAAGGCUCCUUCGAACCAAAUGUGUGUUCAGGAGAUCCCGCGGAUUUUGUUGAUGCUCCAAGGUGUAAUGUUCUUCUGUUUUUUGCUAGUUUCAGGAGGACAAUACUACCAUAUGCCCCAUAUUAAAAAUUUGAGCUGCCAGUUUUCGAGUUUUCAAUUCAAAAGCCCCUUUGGUCUUAAAGUGCCCUUUGCGGGUUUUCACCUUAGCCUCUCCAUUUUUUUUAUUUAGAGCGCCUUUUGUGGGUUUUCACUCUGGCCAUUCUUUCUUUAGGUGAAAUAUUUCUUGACCGAAUCCGAGUUUACAGGAUUGGGCAAGUUUCUACCGUCCAUCUCGGCUAGAAUCAAUGCUCCUCCGGAGAAAGCUUUCUUCACCACGUAAGGCCUUUCCCAAUUAGGCAUCCAUUUCCCCCGAAAAUCCUUCUGUAUGGGAAGGAUCUUUUUCAAAACCAGGUCUCCUUCAUGGAAUUCUCUAGGGUGAACUUUUUUGUCAUAAGCCCGCAUCAUUUGCCUUUGGUACAUCUGACCAUGACGGAUAGCUCUUAGUCUCUUUUCUCAAUUAGGUUCAAUUGAUCAUAUCGAGACUGGAUCCACUCGGCUUCUUCCAACUUUAACUCUGACAACACUCGAAGAGAUGAGAUCUCGACUUCAAUCGGCAACAUCGCUUCCAUUCUGUAGACCAAAGAGAAAGGGUUGCCCCGGUUGAGGUUCCGACUGAUGUUCGAUAAGCAAAGAGAGCAAACGGUAAUUUCUCAUGCCAAUCUUUGUAGGUCUCGGUCAUCUUCCCCACAAUCUUCUUAAUAUUUUUAUUGGUUGCUUCCAUUGCCCCAUUCAUCUUCGGGCGAUACGGUGACGAGUUGUAAUGUCUGAUCUUGAAUUGACUGCAGACUUCCGCUAUCGUACUAUUGUUCAAGUUUAAUGCAUUGUUAGAUAAUCCUUUCUGGCAUUCCAUAUCGACAUAUGAUCUCCUUUUUUAGAAACUUGCUCACUGCCGACUUUGUCACACUAGCAUAUGAAGCGGCUUCUACCCAUUUGGUGAAAUAGUCGAUAACCACAAAGAUGAAAUGAUGCCCAUUGGAAUCUUUCGACGAUAGUGGUCCAAUCACAUCCAUGCCCCACAUAGAGAAUGGCCAUGGAGAAACUAUGACAUGCAGCGGUGAAGGAGGUACAUGAAUUUUGUCUCCGUAGAUUUGGCAUUUAUGGCAUCUCUUAGUGUAGUUGACACAGUCUCCUUCCAUAGUGGACCAAUAGUACCCGAAUCUCAUAAUUUUCCUGGCCAUUGUAAAGCCAUUAGCGUGUGUCCCACAGACACCUUCAUGGACUUCUUCCAAGAUUUUCUUAGCCUCUACAGCAUCUAUACAUCUUAGUAGCACUUGAUCCUUUCUUCUUUUGUACAGGAUAUCCCCAUCUAAGACAUAGUCGGUGGCCAAUCUUCUUAGCGUUCUUUUGUCAUUCUCGCUUGCCUGGUCCGGGUAUUCACAAUUCUUCACGUAUUACAAUAUAUCGUGAUACCAAGGGUGAUUAUCUUUCUCUUCGUCUUCUUCAAUACUGUAACAGUGGGCUGGGACUUCAUAAAUGCUCAUCCGGAUGGGUUUGACAUCUUCUUGUUUGUUCACUUUGAUCAUGGAGGCUAAGGUAGUCAAAGCAUCAGCCAUCUUAUUUUUGUCUCGUGGAAGGUAGUGGAAGGUAAUGUUCUCAAACUGUUUAACCAAUUCCAGGACCAGUUUUCGAUAAUCGAUCAACUUAGGGUCUCUGGUCUCCCAUUCUCCCUUGAGUUGAUAAAUCACUAGCGCAGAAUCCCCAUACACCCCUAGCAUUUUAAUCUUGCGUUCUAUGGCUGCACGGAUUCCCAUGAUGCACGCUUCGUAUUCCGCCAUGUUAUUCGUACAAUCAAAAUCCAAUUUACUAGUGAAUGGAUAAUGAUCUCCAUUUGGAGAUACCAAGACGGCCCCGAUUCCAUUGCCCACAGCAUUUGACGCCCCAUCGAAGUUCAAUUUCCAAGGAAGUUCUUCCAUAGCACCUUCUUCAGUGGUAGUAAUACACAUUAGGUCUUCAUUUGGAAAGUCAAAGUUCAGAGGCUCGUAGUCUAGCAAAGCUCUACUGGCUAGAAAAUCUGCUAUUACACUUCCUUUUACUACUUUCUGGUUCACAUAGACUAUGUCGAAUUCAGAAAGUAGAAUCUGCCAUCAGGCCAUCCUUCCAUUCAAGGCUGUUGACUCCAUCAUGUACUUUAAAGGGUCCAAUUAUGAUAUGAGCCAAGUGGUGUGAUGCAACAUAUACUGCCUCAGGCUUCGGGUUGUCCAAAUUAGGGCACAACACAACUUCUCUAUCGGUGGGUACCUUGCCUCACAUUCCAUGAACUUUUUACUGAGAUAGUAAAUAGCUUUUUCUUUCCUUCCUGACUCAUCAUGCUGACCCAAUACGCACCCCAUGGAGUUCUUAAAUAUUGCCAAAUACAGUAUCAACGGCUUAUCGGGGUUCAGUGGCAUUAGUACCGGAGCGUUGGAUAAGUACUACUUGACCUUAUCGAAAGCCCUUUGGCAUUCUUCAUCCCAUUCACCUGGGUUGUGUUUCUUGAGGAGGCAGAAAAUAGGAUCACAUUUCUCGGUUAGUUGUGAAAUGAACUGAACGAUGUAAUUUAAUCUUCCUAGAAAGCCUCGAACUUCUUUCUAACUGCGAGGCGGAGAUAGCUCUUGUAUGGCUUUAACCUUGUCUGGAUCGAUCUCGAUCCCUUUCUCACUAACCAUGAAUCCGAGUAACUUUCCAGACUUGGCUCCAAAGGUACAUUUGGCAGGGUUGAGUUUUAGCUAAAACUUCCUCAACCUCAAGAACAAUUUUCUCAGGACUUCUAUGUGCUCCUUCUCUAUUCGAGACUUAGCUAUCAUAUCAUCGACAUAAACCUCAAUUUCUUUAUGCAUCAUGCCAUGAAAAAGGGUUACCAUGGCUCUUUGAUGAGUUGCCCUCGCAUUCUUCAGUCCGAACGGCAUCACCUUGUAGCAGAACGUACCCCACAUGGUUACAAAUAUGGUCUUCUCCAUGUCUUCAGGAUGCAUCUUGAUUUCGUUAUAUCCAGAGAAACCGUCCAUGAAUGAAAAUAGUAAGUGUCUCACCGUGUUGUCCACUAGGGUAUCGUUAUGAGACAGUGGGAAAUUGUCUUUCGGGUUGGCUAUAUUCAAAUAUCUGUAGUCCACACACAUUCGCUCUUUUCCAUCUUUCUUAGGAACGGGGAUGAUGUUGGCUACCCAAUCUGAGUAUUUUACCACCUUUAAGAAUCCGGCGUCGAACUGCUUUCGAACCUCUUCUUUUAUUUUUAGCAAGAAUCGAGCCUCAUUCUUUAGAGUUUUUGCUGAACUGGCUUACACUCUUCUUUUAUGGGGAGUCGGUGCACACGAUGUCAGUGUUCAACCCGAGCAUAUCUUGGUAUGACCAUGUGAAGACAUCUUUGAAUUCUUGAAGCAAUUCAAUAAGGUCUCGCUUCAUCUCCGUAGUGAUACAUGUUCCGAUCUUCACCUCUUGUCCUUCUCCUAAGAUCACAAUUUCAACUGAUUCUUUGUGAGGUAGGAUUUGUUUCUCAUCUUGUUCUACCAUCCUCAACAAAUUAGGGAAUAGGUUAUAGCCUUGGUCAUCUUCAAAAUCUUGAGAAUACUCGAUACACACAUCUCGCUCGAAAGGAAAUUCUAAGUCGCUAGCAGUGUCACUCGUAUCAUUAAUAUCUGGGGACCUGUUAUGAGGAUGAAGGCAGAUACAAAGAAUCAAAAGAAUUCGAAAUAUUUGUUUGCGUGGUAUGAUUAUGAAUGAUGAAUGAAAGAGUAUUUAGAAGAAUGUUUCAAGAAUAAAAGAAUCCAAAAGUAAUCAUUUGUAUGGUUAUGAAUAAAACUGAGAGGACGAGAGAACAUUUGCUUAAAAAUGAUAACAACCGUGCAUUUUAUUGAAAUAACAUUUUUAAACAUUGGCUUAUUUCACAAAAGAUUCUUAUUACUCCUAGGCCUAGAGCAAUAAGUGUGUUUUGGACAUUGCUCUGAAUUCGCUCUAAAAACUACAGGAAUCUCUUCCGCAGUCCAGUUGUUUAGAACACUUCCAGGUGCAUAGGGGCAAAUGCCCGACAAAUUUUCUCCUCCAGCUUCUUCGUCGUAUGUGGCGUUGAUGUCCAAGCUUUCCAACCUUUCCUCUAUUGCUUCUUUUCUUGGCGUACCACUCUCGAGAUGAAUGAUUCCUCCGGACACAAAAGUUUUUGAUAUAUGGGGGAAUAUCAUUGGUUCACAUUUGAUUUCCUCUCCCGUUAACCGUGCUUCCCUUCUCUCUUGCUUCUUUUCUAGCUCCCUUCUCCUUUGUUUCACAUCCGGCUUAAAUGCUAAGCCGAAGUGGUCUUUCUUUUCUUUCAGCAUUGGCGUUUCAAUCCUUUCUUGUAGAUGUCUCCCAAGUCACCUUCCGGGUAGGGUCCCUUUUCCAAUCAUCAAUUGGAGGCUCAUCCUCGUGGUUUUGGACAAUUUUGGCACCAGAAUUUUGCUUCCCGCGGCGAUGAACGUUGCAUUAAUAAAUUCCAAAGAUCGAAAUAAGCAUUUGAUUGCCUCGUCAUCUGUCUCCAAAUAGGGUGAUUAUUGCUCACAGUUGCAAUAAUAUCCUCCUCAGCCUUGAUCGUUAUCAACCUCCCCUCCGAUACUAGCUUCAAUUUUUGACGCAACGAGGAAGGCACUGCCCCAGCUGAAUGUAUCCAGGGCCUCCCCAACAAACAAUUGUAUGAGGGCUUGAUAUCCAUUACAAGGAAAUCCACCUCAUACGAGUUUGGCCCAAUCUGAAGAGGUACCUCGAUUCUGCCCAUCACCUUUCUCUCCGUGCCAUCGAAUGCCUUCACGAUGUUCUAGCACUUCUUCAUGUAAGAGCUGUCUAUAGGUAAUCUAUUCAGCGUGGUCAAUGGCAGGACGUUCAAAGCAGAUCCAUUGUCAACCAGUACACCUGGCAGCGUAUAUCCUUUACAGCGUGUGGUGAUAUGCAGAGCUUUAGUCGACCCCAUGCCCCCGAGUGGUAUCUCGUUGUCAUUAAAAAAGAUAUAAUUGUCGGCACUUAUGUUGCUCACCAAACGGUCCAGCUUGUUAAUGGAGAUAUUAUUGGCAACAUAUGUCUCGUUUAAGACCUUCAUUAGCGCGCUACAAUGAACUUCCGAGCUUAGAAGUAAGGCCAGCACCGAGAUACGGGCUAGUUGUUUACGUAACUGUUCUACCACACUGUAUUCGCUAUGCUUUAAUAAUUUUAGAAACUCCUUGGCCUCCUCUUCAUUAACUGGCUCGUUAACAAGUUUGGUUGCUUUUCCCCUCAUUUUCUCGACCACCUGGGCUUUUCCUUUUGUGGGCUGUGCCUCCUCAUUCGAUGUAUCAUAACAUCUCCCGCGAUUUGUAUAGGAACCCUUGUCUUGAUCCCCUCUUGAAGCAUCAACCGAGCUCUCCUUUCCGGUAUUGUUACACUACAAUCAUAAUUCUAUGGGACCUUUUUGUUGUCUUUAUAGGGGAAGACUGUAGGUCUUUGGAUUAUGACCCUUGGUGGCAUUUGAACUCUAGCUUCAUUAUUUUUGGGUCUCGAUAUGAUAACCACAGGAUAGUUGGUCAUUUGAUUCUGCCCAGCUGAUCCACCCUCUAACGCACAUAUAUCUCCCUCUGCGGGGUUUUUGGAUUCUUCAUAAAACUCAAUUUCCUUAUUGUUCAUCAUGUUUUGCACUAAGGCUUUGAACUCCACGCAAUCUUGGAUUUCAUGCCCCACCUCGUCGUGAAACUCACAGUAGUUCCUCUCUUCUUCGGAUUCUUCCCUCGAAUCUAACGCGAUCAAUCCUCUCUUGGCCGUCUCCUUCCAUACUCGCCUCAAUGGGGUCUUGACUCCUGCCACCUCAUACUUGGUCUUCUUGUUCAAGCCUUCACUUAUCCCAUUCACUCCUUGGUCGGUAUGAUUGGGGAGUGGGUUUCCUGCUACAUUGGGCGUGGCUGGGUCGUCAAAUCUCACGAUCCCCAUCUUAAUGAGUCUUUCGACUAAUUUCUUAAACGCAGUGUAGUUUUCGAUAGAGUGCCUGGUGAUUCCCGUGUGGUUUUCACAUUGGGCAUUUGUGUCAUACCAUUUGGGAUACGGCGGCUGCAGUAGCUUAAGGUAGAAAGGGGACACCAUAUGAGCGUUGAACAGGUUCUGGUACAACUCCCUUUACGUCAUGGGUAUAGGGGUGAAUUGUGGCGUUUCUGUGUUCUCCCUUGUGUUGGAUUCUUGUCUUAGAGAGCUUUGCUGAUUGGUGGUCACCGUCUUGGGUUGAUUUAUGGUGAAUGACUUGGACUAACCUUUUUUAGAUGUGCUCGUGUUGUUCACUUCAUUGUCUCUUUUCCUCGGGGCCGACUUUCUGGCACUCUCUCCUGAUUCUAUCUUGCCGCUCCUCAUAGCAUUUUCGAUCAUUUCCCCCGUCAUCAUUAUGUCGGAGAAUCUUUUUGUGGCACUUCCUAACAUAUGGGUGAUAAAAGGGGCUUUCAAGGUGUUGAUAAAGAGCACUGUCGUCUCUUUUUCUAGAAGCGGUGGCUGAACUUGUAUGGCCACUUCUCUCCACCUUUGUGCAUACUGUCUGAAGCUUUCAUUUGACUUUUUCUCCAUAUUCUAGAGAGUGAUUCUGUCGGGAGUCAUGUCCGUCACAUGGUUGUAUUGUUUCAUAAAGGCCUAAGCCAGGUCCUUGCAUGAGUUAAUUUUAGAGCGGCUUAAUUUGUUAUACCACUUAGACGCCACCCCGACUAGACUAUCUUGAAAGCAAUGGAUUAACAGCUGGUCGUUGUUAACAUAUCCCAUCAUUCACAUGCAGGACAUACUGAUGUGGGCUUCAGGGCAGCUUGUUCCAUUGUAUUUCUCAAAUUCGAGCAUUUUGAAUUUAGGGGGAAUGACUAAAUCUGGGACCAGACUCAAGUCCUUGGCAUCAAUCCCUUGAUGAUAAUCCACGCUCUCCAUGGCUUUGAAUUUCUCCUCGAACCAUCUACACCGUUCUUCCAAUUGUUUUUACGAAUCUAUCCUUGCUUUUUCUUCUUCAGCAAUUUCAUCCAAAUCAGGAACGGGCGGAUAGUUCGGGUUGUUGACAAAGUUAGAGCCUGAGCCGGUUUGGAAAUUCAUCGGUAUUGAAGUUUUUCCUUUUCUCUACUUCUCAACCUCUGACCUCUGAACAUCAGCGUCAACCUUAAGUGCAUCUUCUCUUCCUCCAAUUGUUCGAUCUUUUUCCCAAGCUCCAAACUCUUCUUCUCGAAUCUUGCCUUAUAUUUUCCAAUCCUGAUGGGGUGACUUCUAAUUGUUCUUCGAUAGGUUGAGCAUUCUCCAAGCUUGGCCUAGGAAUAUUAUCAUUAAUCUUCUUCUUAAACCACUCGCUAUACUCGGGCGUUACCAUGGAACCGACGACUAAUCUCUUCAUCCAACAAGUUUGCUUCCAAGCAUCCGAUAACUCCCGAACUCUCUUCUUAUAAUGAGCACCCCUAAAAGAGAAUUCACUCUGAGCAAGUCCAUAGGUCGUGGGUACAAACUGCCUCGACUUAUAUUGCCUCAAGGCUAUCAACGGAGUAUACCCGGUAGCUCCCCAAAUUCCUAACAAUGGCACCCAAUCGAAGUUACCACAUCGGUACAUGAUCUCAUUAGGAACCAUCCAGUAAGCUCUCCACUCGAUAUCCCCCUUCUUGAGGUUUUGAAGAAUGUCCAUCCACUUCUCCUCCGAGAUAUCCUCUCUCCUCUGUAUAGCUGCCUCUUCUUUCAAUGGAGAAUAACCCUCGAAAAAGACUCGAUAGGAAACUUUGUCUACUUUCCAAAAGUGCUCGUGAAACCAUGCCAUCAACAACUGUGCACAUCCAAUAAACUGCCCCUCGCCCGCCUUCCAACAUAAGCUCAAAGAUCUGAAUGUUUCUGCCAAUACCGCCGGUACCGGUGUGAUUCCCUUUUCAAGCCGAUCGAACAAGUCAAUAACCGCUUCGUCCACGUGCCUCAAAGGCUUAGGAAAAAUCACUAAUCCGUAGAUACUUAAGGCAAAUAUAUCGACUCUCUUUCUUUCAUCUGGAUGCGUCAAGAUCAGAUCUCACAAAUUCUCCCAAGGGAUACAUUUGUUAUCUCCCUUUUGCUGAAUCCGAGCAGUGAACCAAGGCUCGCUCAUCCCAAAAAUGCUCAUCAGCUUUUUCACGAAAGUCUGACUAUUAAAAACUCGGGCAUAAGUCUUCCAGACCUGAAUCUUUGGACACCUUAGCAGCGUAGUGUAUUCCUCCAUGGUAGGUACCAAAUCCACUUCUCCACAAGUGAAACACUUGUACGCAGAAUUCCAAAACUGCACCAAGGCUCGGAACAAAUGCUUAUCCAUUCUAGUGUCUAACAGGUAGGAUAUGUCACCAUAGCUUUGGUAAAACAAUUGCUUGAUCCCUUCAUCCCAACUAGCCCAAAUGUCUUUCAACUCUUGCAACUCAUUCUGUACUACAUUGACGCGAGUGAAAUCCUGCAGCUCCGAUACAUACCCUUCUGCCAAGCUAUCCCCUCUCUCUGAUUGUAGCCUCUCCGACCAUGCACGAACGACCGCGUUAUCCUCGACUUUCCUAAGAAAUUCAUUGUCCAUGUCAAACUUUCUAACUUAGUAAUUAAAUACGGAUUAACACCUCCUUUAGUAUACAAUGUCAUGCAAAAAAGAUAAUCAAAACAAAGCACCAGUUAGUACCAAAUAAUAGUGAUAGAAUGCAAGCAUAUAAACAAUAAUUAUAACGCAUAUACGGGUAAGUAUUAAGGCUCGACGCGGCUUCACCUAAGGAUAGCUCCUAAGGUUCACUAUAUGUGGUUUAGUUCUAGGGAUAAGGUACCCGAACCAACAGAUUCCUCAAUCCUCACCCAUUAUAGGCUCAUAUAGAUCGAGUUCGGUUCGGGGGGAUACAUUUCCCUAUGACCAUGCGGAGAAGAAAAUCUCACGAAAUCAUAGAUACGGAUCUACCCCGGAAGCAAUCCACAAGCCCAUGCGAAGGUAAAACCUCACGAAAGUGAAGUUUCUGACACUCACUUAGAAGGUGUGACCACAGUGGUCAUGAAAUGAAAUGCAGCAUUAUUCUACAAGACCCACACCGAAACAAUCAUACAAUCAAAUGCAAUCGAAAGACACGUGAUUUUUAAAACAAAUUUUGACUUUUGACAAAAGGACAGCAAAUAAACGAUUUUAUGGCUCGACUUUCUAGCGUCCCUAGUGGAGUCGCCAAGCUGUCGAAACCACCCCUUUAUAUUUAAACUUUUAUUAUUUAAAUGAGAAAAAAAAGUGGGGGAAUCGACUUUUGAAAAAUAGCAAUAUGGAGUCACCACCAAUCUCUUUAUUUUGGUGUGAUCGAAUCCCCUAAGAAUUUGGUUAUUUUAAUAAAACAUUUUCGGUUUACCAAAACACCGAUUAUGGUCUACGAAAAUUUUAGAAAACGGGCUCAGGAGUUGAUUAUAUAUGAGGAAGGGUUAGCACCCUUACUACGCCCAAAAUUGGUACCAAAGCAAUUAAAUACUGUCCUUAUGUUUGAAAUUGAAAAUGUUUUUGAAAUGUGGUUCCCUUUUUUAUAACAUUUGAAUAACCCGAGUUGAUUGUCAAAAAUCUUCUUGUUUCGACGACCAAAAAUUUAAAACUUGAAAAUUACAAGAGAAUGCUCAACUAUUUACUCCAACGAAAAAUCAAAACCCAGCACAGUAGGGUACGAUUCCUCGAAUUUCCAAACAUUGACCAUUGCCUUACCUUAUAAAAUACGUGCGAAAUUUCGAGGAGAUAUUUGAUUAUUUUGGACAACUGAAAAAGCGUAGCCCAGCACGAUAGGGCUCGAUUCUCAAAUCGCCAAACAUCGAACAUAGCCUUUAUUUUGAAAGAUUUUAGAAAAUGUGAGUGAAAUUCCGGAAGGAUCUUUAAUUGUUUUGGACCAAUGAAAAGGCACAACCCAGCACGAUAGGGCACGAUUCUCAAAUCGCCAAACAAUUGACAUCGCCUUCGUUUUAAAAUGUUUUCUAAAAAAUGAGUGAAAGCCUAAAGGAAUAGUCGAUUGUUUCGACCAAACGAGAAAUCAUAACCCAGCAUGGUAGGGCAUGAUUCCCGAAUCGUCAAACACCAAAUAUUGCCUUCAUUUUAAAUGAUUUUUUUUAGAAUAUACGAGUGAAAUUUUGAGGGGAUAUUUGAUUAUUUUAAGCAAAUGAGAAAUUCGCAACCCAACACGUUAGGGCACAAUUCCACGAGUUGCCAAAUAUCGCACAUCGCCUUCGUUUAAGGGAUUUUAAAAGACAUGAGUGGAAUUUGAAGUGAUAUUCGAUUAUUUUGAGCAAACGCGAAAUUGCAACCCAACACGUUAGGGUACGAUUCCAUGAAUUGCCAAAUAUCGAAUCUCGUCUUCGUUUUAAGGACAUCUUUUUAAAAAUGUGAAACUAGUUUAAGACGCAUUAAUAGAAUGGAAUUAAUCAUGAAAUUCGGAUUUUAUAAAACCACAUUUCGAAAAUCAAAUGAAAAUGAUGAGACGAGAUAAUAGACGCAUAUGGGAUACCAUACUUGAUAAAUGAGAAUACUAACCAACCAAGAAAAUGAGCAAUUAAAAAUAAUUAGCUUGAAAAUAUAACUUAACCUCAAUCACGCAUGGAGAACAAUUAACAUGGCAAUAAUGAAUAAAUAAAAUGCAACGACGGCAUACAUGGCAUAAUAAAAUUAUUAGAGGCAUAAAAUAAAAUGCAAUUCGAAGAAGCAAUAUGGUAUGAGAUUAUUGUAAAACAAUGACAACCUUUAUCUGCACAUGCAAUCAUUAAAAUAUGUUGUAGAAUGAAUAUUUUUAAAAUACAUAAUGUAUGAGUUGACAAAUUUGCAUAAAAAUAUGAAUAUAUAAUUAUUGAAGUAGAUAUUAUAAAAAAUAAUUUUAAAUCGAGUCACGUGCAAAACAUUUUAAAAAACGAAUUUAUUCGAAAAUUGACAAAGCAAAUAAUAACUUGAGUAACAUAUAAUAUGAAAGGAUAAUAAAAUACGUGAUGAGAUAUAAUACACAAAAUAGAUUUACAAAACAUAUAUACAUAUAAAUCUAAAAGCAAAUACAUGCAAAAUAACAUUUAAAUAUUAUGUAUAGGGCUAAAUUAAUUUUAUUAUAAAUUAAACAAUAGAUUUAAAAACAUGCUGAUGAGUAAAAAUAUAUAUAUAUACAUAUGUAAAACGUAUAGGUUUAGAAAUAUAUAUAGAUGAAACAUGGUCAUUAAUGUACACAUACUUAUGAUAAUAGUGAUUUAAAAGAUGCAUUAUGUAGGGUUAUAUAAUAAAGUACAAGAAUGAAUUAAAAAGACAUAUGAAUGAAAUAAUAUAAGAUUAACAAUAUAUGCAUAUAUGAAAUAAAAUUAACUCUAAUAUAAGGUAAAAAUAUACGUUUAUGACAGCGUGAAAGGAAUAAACAUUCAAAGUAUAUGAAAUAUGAUAUUAACAUUACACGAAAAAAAAAUUACAAUAAAAAAAGGUAACAAUUUCUAAAGACAUUUAAAGAAUACAAAUAACUGAUUAGAAAUAAAAUGGAUUAUAAAAUGACUAAAACUUAAUUAAAAAAAUAAACUAAAAUAGAGGGGAUAAUUCGAAUAUAAAAUAAAUAGAAAUGAUAAUAGGGACCAGUAUGCCAUGCGUGCAAGUGCGUGGGGACUUAAACUGGAAAUAACCCAGUUCCCCAAAACGCAGUGUUUAGGCUUGGACCCCUUUGCAGACAAACAUAGAUUUCGGGGCUAAAUUAAAAGGAAUAAAUAAAACAAAAGGAAUGCAUUCGAAUGGCCACACAGGGAGGAGGGACCUAGCUUACAAAUAAUCCCUCACCGCAGAAAAGCACGUGGGUCAUCGGGUUUGGAAUCAAAUCGGGUCGGUCUUUGAUGUCAAUACGACACCGUUUGAGGUCUUAUAAAAGGGCCCUUUUAGCCCACUCAGCCGAACCCUAGCCUCCAAUCUUCUCCUCAGCCAUAACCUGCGUUUUCUCCUUCCAAGAGACCAGCCCGCCGCAAGGUAUGGAGACCGACGCUCGCAGGUUUCGAAACAUGGUUUCUUUCAGCCACCGGGUUCCCUUCAAACCCCGAUUUCGACGAAGCUAAAGGGAAUCCGCGGCUCAAUCUCAAGGUAAGUCCCCUUUUUCCUUUCUUUUUUUUUUUGAAUGUAAAAAUGAUAAAAAUAAAAACGGAGGAAAUAACAAAUAGAAUCGAGGAACAAAGAUCACCUUCUCAAGAAGUGACUCUCUGAUUUUUAAGCAAACUGUAUUGUGUAUGUAUUGUGUGUUUGUAUUCUCUGUGAAUGUACGUUACAACUGAUGAAAUCCCCUGGCUUUAUAGCUGAAUCGGGUAAAAGAAAAAUGAAAAAAUGGAAAUACAAUAUUCCUCGUUGUUUUUUGUCUGUUUUUGCUACGUGGUUGUUCCUUUCUUCACAGGUACAGGUGUGCGUCGGCGUACGGGGUGUGGCGCCAGGAGGCUGAGGCAUACGGAGGCAUGGAGCUACCGUUCAGUUGCUGUUGCAGCGCAGGAGAAAGGGGGUGGCUUAGGGUUUGUCUGGGUUUAAUGUUCUGGGCCUAUUGGGCCCUGUAAAUUGUAAUUUUGGGUUUGUAAUAUUUUGGGUUUAAAAUUGGGUUAUGUAACUUGGACUGAUGGACUUUUAUUGGACUGUUAAUAAAACUUGGGUUUUAAAUUUAUUUAUUUAUUUAUUUAUUUUUACUAUUUAGUU